GGGACACGGGGACCCGCACCGGGGUUUGGGAUGCAGGGAGGGUGCCACUCCUUGGGGAGCGGAUUGAUGGGGAAGAGGCUGAUACCUGCUCCAGUGCCCUUCAGCCUCUCCAAAGCGGGCAAGGUGCGAUGCGUGUUCCAGGGAGAUCCUCCCAUCACCUCAGACUUGCUCUUUGGGGGUCACCUGGCUGCCAACACAGUCGUUUGAGGAAGGGAAGUUUGUAAAUAUCCCUGCAGUUUUGCCGUGCUUCUGAAGUUGGGGUGUAUGGAUGCAACGCUGUGCAUCUCCAUGCAAUAGUUCUUCCUUACACGUGAUAACUCUUCCUGGGCUUUGUGACACCAGCUACAAAAGGAACCUUUGCUUCCUGCCUUCUUCCCAAGUGAUUAUAAAGCAUUACAUCCCUGUGCAUAGCUGCCAUCCAGCUUCCCUGCUGCCUUAGGCUGCUUCCCUGUGGGGUUGGAAAGAAGCAGCAGCGAGCAAAAUAUCUGCUGCAGGGAGGAGAUGCUCCUUCCGUAUGGAAUGUAGAGUUUGGGGUGAGCAUCACAACCCCCAGCACAGGAACACUGCUCCAAAGGGCUGGAGGAGCUCUGCUGCUGGGAGGUGACCCGUUGCUGUCAUAGGAACAUGUGUCCUGCAGUUUGUGGAUGGUGCCAGCAGGACUCGAGGUCUUCAGACCUUCCCGUUGCCACCAGAGGGAGAAGGGCCCGGCAGCACAAGGAUAAUGGGAAAGGAGGAUUCUGUAAUUCAUUCUGGUCGGGAAUAACCGGGCGGGUGUUCCUGUGAGCUGGAAAAUGGGCAAACUUCAACUUUUCAUCAGUCAGCAAGUCAUGCACGAGUGUCAGGCUGCGGGGUCAGAAACAAGGAAAGGGUGUCCAGAAAGAUCCUCCCAUCACCUGAUACCUGCUCUUCUGGAAUCACCUGGUUGAAAAUCCACUGCUUUGAGGAAGGAAACAGUUUGCCAAUGUCUUGUCUUCCCCCACUCCCAAAGUUGUAGUGCAUGGGUGAAGACCAGCUCUCCUGCCAAAAUUACUACUGGUGAUGGAUGUGCCCUUCCUGGCAGGAAAAAUGCCCCUGUGCUGGAAGAGGAGAGGUUGCACUGUGCCUUUGAGCUCCCCUGCACUGACAGCCUUCCCCCAGUAUCUCCCUCCCCCGUGGAGUGCAGACCCUGCCAGGUGAGCUGCAGCUCUCCAGGCUUGUCUGUCUCCUGGUUUGAGACCCCUCAGAUGUCCAUCAGCUCCUGGGAGCUGGCUGACCAUGGGUUGAGACCUUCUGCUCUAGUGGAAGAUGAACUGAACUUGGGACAGUUCAGGCAGGAAAUAAGUGACAUAUUUCCAGCAGUCAACAGUGAUGAGUCACUGGAGGAAUCUGCCCUGGGAUCUGUAAGUUCAUCACUUCCAAGGGUCUCUUGACUCAGGGCUGAAUGCUUUCCAAGGGGAUGCUCUGCACUGGCCACGUGCUGAGGACAUGAGGACGAUGCUUGGGUGAUAUUCUGUAUGCAGGAGGUUGGACACUUGGCCUUAAUGAUCUACAAGCCACUUACUGAAUGAAUAAAUAAGUGGUUACGAAGCAGCAGCAGAGCAGUUUGGCAGGGAUGGUCAAAUGUGUGGGACCACGGUGGGCCUGGGGUGAUAUCCAAUAUGGGGACUUGCUGCUGCUGGGUGCUGCAGGGAUGAGCCUUGUUCCCCUCUGGGGAAAGCUGGAAUACAUUGUUUAGGGUUCCUUCCUUCCUCAGCCUUGGAUCCACGUGUCCCAGCAGCCACUGGUGAUGGGAGGGAGCUGCUCCUGUGGCUCUCAUGGAGCUGAGCCCCUCUGGGUGCAUGGGAGAGCAUUGUGGGGCCCCUGGCUGUGUGGGGGUUUGAGGAUGGCCUGGGGAGGAGGAGGAGGUGACAGAGACAUCCUGUAAGGGACACCGUGUGAGCUGGCCUCACAGGAGGCUGCUGCAGUUCAGCAGGUGAAGGCAAGUAAAAGAAACAAAGGAAAUCCAGGGGUCCCUUCUUCUCCCAGCUCUCCUGGAAGUGGCAGGGCAGCAGUUUUCUGCACCGGGUGUUGAAUCCCUGCACGUUACACCAACACACACCCACCCACCAUUACCUUUCUCACCCUCUCUGAACACACCAUAGCAUUGAUCUCCACAAUAUCUCGGGACAGUGGAUUUCAGGCUUUAUUUGUGCAGUGGGGACACUUUCUGCCUUGCUCUCUGAUCCUUUCCUAGAAAUUCCUGCCUCUUGACUCGCUGCCUUUCAGUCUGAGCAUGUUCUGGGCAGUUUCCCCUGGGCACAUCUUCACACUUCUCCACAUUACAUUAAAUCUGCUCCUUGAUAGCUCAGCACUGUGAGCUUAACUUUGGCUGCCUCAGCUAUUUGGUAUUGCCUUUGCCUGACCACUGAUUCCUCUUGUUUUGGGUGUUCAGUGCCUGCUCUGCCCCUCUGGGCCUUUGCUCCCUGGAAAGUGCUCUACAAUCUGAUGGUUUAUUUCUGACCCGUUGGUUUCUUUCAGCUCAAUUUCUGUGCAGAAUAUGACCCUCUUUGCUGCCUCUUAAUUCAAUUUCUGCCCAGGCUGCUUGUCCAGGUUAGGUGGGGAAACCACAGUGGCUGCUGAUGGAAGACUCAGGUCCCUAUCACAUGCACUGACACGUCUCUACUCAGUAAAAUAUUUAUUCCUCCAUUAUUUCACAAGAGUUGUUUUUACAAAAACCUUACAAAAAUUUCCAAAACACAGACAUGCAGAAGAAAAAAAAAACAAAACAAAACAAAAAUCCACCAUGGAUCUCGUUACAAGUAAUUGAAAUGUACAAAUAGAAAGGGCGAGAGAGAGCUUAGAUUACAAUAAUCCCUCGGUCCUGCUACCCCUCCAUGGGUGCAAUUUGUAUCUCUUCUUGGUGAGUUCAGCAUUGACUGACAAACUGUGAUAAGCUGCCAAAAGCACAGCAAAGGAGGGGCCCUAAGAUUAGGAGCAAAUGUUUUCAAAUAUAUAUAUACAUAUAGAUAUUUAGUGAAGAAAUAUUUAUUCCCUGCUUUUUUUAGGUUUACAGAAACAGCAUCUGCAAACUAUUAAAUGGGUUUAUUUUCAUUAAUGUUCUCAAAGAGGCAGCAACAUUUAUAUCCCUGUGGUUUCAUCUUGUAUAACUGUAAAAAGAGCCCUGUUCUUUCCAUGGGAAUGGGACCCCCCUGGCCCCCUCCUCCUGCCCCAAGUGGUGUUUCUCAGGGUGGAUGACUUGAUCCACAGUGGAUCCCUCUUCCCCCUGGUUUGGCAGGUCUCUGUGCAGUGUGGGGAGCUGGCAUGACAACUGGGAGGGACACCAGCCCUGAAAAUACAGAUGGGGGCAGAGGGUGGGUAUUUAGGGUGACACUGCUCCCUGGAGGAGGUGGACAGGAUCAGUCAGGCUGUGCCCUCUCCCUGCCUGCCAAGCUUGAGGAGGAGAACGUAGCUGUUCCCAGCUGGGGGCUGCACUGUAGAGCAGAGAAGGCCGGGGCUGGAGCAGGAUGGGGGGGCUGGUUCACCCCCAGGCAGAGGAGAUGGUUCUCCCAUCAGGUCUCCAGCUCUGGGUGCUGGGUGAGUCCCCCCAUGCUGGCAUUAGCUGAUGGCCCUGCUGUCACAGCCACUGGGUGCCACAUUCAGCUGCAGUGAGAGCCCAGUGGGAAUGGGAGAGAAUGCUCCUGGAGCUGUGGGAACUCAGGUGGGCACUUCGUAACUGUGGCACUCUCAGCCUCAGUGUCACCAACCAGAGGAAGUUUACCUGGAGGAGGCACCUCAGCAAUUGCUCUUUGUCCUCAGAUCUGUUGCUGCAGUCCCCAAACCAACCCCUGUUGGUUUGUGUCUUCUCUGUCCAGGCCACCCCUCUGAGUUGGUGGUGUCCCCGUGCUUGGCUGGUGGCUCUUUCCAGUGGUGAGGAAAGGGUGAUCUGGUUUCAGGUGGGCUUUGUCCACAGGGACACCCCAACUCCAGCGCUCUGGCCGUGGAACUGGCAGGGGAAUGUGGAGGCUGCAUCUCCCCAGCUCAGUCCCAUGGAUGAAGGCCAGGUUGCCCACCCCGCGUCCAUCCCCUGCACGUCCCACCUUGGAACCUCAUUAGGCUGCACAGCAGGGUGGGAUGAGGGGGAAACCAUUUCCUUUCUGCAAAACCAAAAAAGCCUCCCCCCAUGGAGCUGCCGGCCCCAGACCCCCGAGCACAUCUGCGGAGCUGCCGACGGGGAGGCUGUGCCUCCGGAAGGCGAAGCCUUCGUUGGCACGAAGCGCUGGGAGCCGCCUACUCAGCUGAAACCCAACAGCUUUUUCCAAUUUUCUCAUUCCCUGGGACUGUUCAAUGACCUGGGGCUCUGCACAAUCGCUGGCAAAUCCACCGAGGCAGGGCAGCGGUGCCUGCUUGGGGAUUGGCGAUGCAUCCCCAGCUCACGGCCGAGCUCACAGGCUCCAGGAGGGUCUGUUGAGGUGCUGCAGCUCU